rnacentral:rRNA from 1 species
GACAUGCAAGUCGAACGAGGCGCCACAGAUUAAAGGAAUGGAGUGCUUGCACAAGAUGGAAUUUAAUGACGUGGAAUUCCGCCUAGUGGCGCAAGGGUGAGUAACACGUGGGUAAUCUGCCUUAGAGACUGGGAUAACUACUGGAAACGGUAGCUAAUACCGGAUGAAAUAUAAUUCGUAAAGGAUUAUAGUAGAAGGUGCCUUUAAAGCAUCACUUUAAGAUGAGCCUGCGGCGUAUUAGCUAGUUGGUGAGGUAAGAGCUUACAAGGCGACGAUGCGUAGCCGACCUGAGAGGGUGAUCGGCCACACUGGGACUGAGACACGGCCCAGACUCCUACGGGAGACAGCAGUUAGGAAUAUUCGUCAAUGGGGGAAACCCUGAACGAGCAAUGCCGCGUGAAGGAAUGAAGGUCCUAUGGAUUGUAAACUUCUGUUGUAAAGGAAGAACGGUAAGUAUAGGAAAUGAUACUUAAGUGACGGUACUUUUCAAGAAAGCAUCGGCUAACUACGUGCCAGCCGCAGC